GCUGGGCGUGGUGGUGAACACCUGUAAUCCCAGUGGCUUGGGAGGCUGAGGCAGGAGGAUCACAAGUUCAAAGGCAGCCUCAGCAAUGACAAGGUGUUAAGCAACUCAGUGAGACCCUGUCUCCA
rnacentral:sRNA from 1 species